GAGAGUGGGGGACGCCGCUGUUUAAAUAGGCCCGGCCGGGGGUUCACGCCACGUGUGUCGAUUGGCAGUUCUACCCUCAGCAGCUGCGUCGCCCUAGACGCACCAGGAGCAAGGGCAGGACAGUCAAAUCCAGCCGAGCGAGACCCAGCCUCAGAUCGGUCAAACAUGGCCGCGGCCGCGGCCGCUCGACCAGCCACCACACGACACGACGCAUGCAGGUGCAGUGCCAUGCCCGGCCGUCCCCACCGGCGGCUCAAUCACCGUCUUGCCCACACGAGCAGGCGCUGCGGCACAGCGCAGGCGCUCCGGGGAGGGCCAGGCCCCAGCCCCGCAUGGUGGUGGCACGACGCGCGCGGUGGUGGGUGACGACGAGCCGCCGGCCCUGGCCCGCACAGGCUAGCCGGCGAGAUUGAAGAAAUCUUGCGUGGAAAAGCUCUCUUGGCCUCUCAUGGCGGGGGUUAGCACAGCUAGCAUCGUCCAGGAGGGAGGCGCAGUCCGCGCCGCGCCAGCCAGAAUGAGCUCGAGCGUAUGGCUUGUCGCUCGGGGAGGACGGUGGCGGCGGCUGUUGCACGGCAGGCUGGAGGUGGAGCCGUCCAUGGGGUUUUAUUGAAAAUGUCUGUUCCGGCACAACAACAAAAUUCCUUUCACCAGAGAGCUUGCUGCUGCGAAUACGACAACGUCUAAAUUCCAAUGCUCGUCUACAUCACGGCAAAAUGCGUCCUACUAGUCAAUGUCCUUUUCUGACUUAUGGUGGAGAUUGGGCCCAUAUUUUCUCCAAGUGUCAAAGAAGCAUCAUUGAAGCAUUUUGGACAGCUAAUCCCCUUCUCGAGCAGGAUAACCAUGUCAAGAGCACGAUCCUCAUCUGCAUCUUCUUGAAUAUUUGGAAAUGUAAGAAUGCGGCAUGAAGAUGGGUCCGACCUUCAAAUUUCCAAGCGAUGUCACAAUGACAUCCUUCUAUGGACCAACAGAUGCAACCCCGUCGCUUCCCCCGUCGCUCCGACUCCACCACACCCCGCCACCACCCUCUGCCUCCGCCACCGCCGGAGCUGCCUGCCGGAAGUCCGGCACGCAGCGAAGAGGGCGGCGGCGGGGCCGUAGUUCUCCCUCAUUCCCUAUCUCUCUCCUCUUUUUUUUCCCAUCCCCUCCGUGCUUCCUUCCUCGGCCAGAUCUGCUCUUGUGGAGGCUGGAUCCGUGCGCUGGUGGGUCGGAUCCGCGCUCCCCCGGCCGUUCCUAGCUGGAUCCGGUGUUGGCCGCCGUUGACCUCGGUGGUGCCGGGCAGGCCCUUGGCCUUGCUGCGGUGGCCCCCUACGCCGUGGCGGCAGCGUGCGGCCCAGCGGCGCCUGUCUCGGCCAUUACCGGCUGUGACGACGCCUGUGGUUCCGGCUGCAAGCAGAUCGCCGGAUUGGGGCUGCAGGUGGGCGGUUGCUCGUGGUUUGGCCAGCAGCAGGGCAACGGCCGGCCGAUCUUCUUGUGCCGGCAUGCGGACUUGAUUCGGUGUGCACAUGGAGAAAUCUCAGCUGGCAAUAUGCCGGCCGGCAAUGACGCUGCUUGUUACAGUAUUUUCCUCGCCGGAGGUUUUGACGAUGUGCUAUGCUAUUUGCAGAUCCGUGAGUGUCGGGUGAUACGGGAAACCGUUCGAGGAAAUUCUUGGCCGGCGUAACGCUGGCGUCAACAUUGGUGACAUCGUUUGGUGCCAUUCCCUCGCUGUGCCAUUCCCUUGCUGGAGGUGAUGCUGACAUAUCCUCGUACCCUUGCGCCAGACGGAGGUUUAUGUGAAAAGGCAAGGAACAGACCAUCCGGAUAUUAAGCUUCUAAGUAGGCGAGUGAUGCGAUGGUUUGGUACCUGUGAGUACAGUGCAAGAUUGAAGCGGAACGAAGAAAAAAUUUGAAGCUUAGUCUUUUAGGUUUCUUUUUUUAUAUAGUUUUUUCUUAUAUUUGUGAAUUUCCUCGUUUGAGGUCUAGAGCCUAAGAGCUCUUGUAACCCUUUUGGAUGUAGUCAUUCACUGGUGAAUGAUUAAGGCCGGAAUUUUUCAUAAUCUAAAGAAAAUUGGCCAAGAUUGUUGAA